UUUGACUGUGGGGAAUGAAUGGCCUGAGCCAGUUACUAUUAGUUAGACUGCUGAAAACUGAUGCCAUGUUAAUGGUUGUGUCUAAUUCAGUUUAACUAUUUCAUUGAUUCAUCUUGUGAAGAGUGAAAUUCUGUGUUUUUGAAAAAAUGCUCUGGUUUGUUGGUAAUUGUUGAUUAUUGAAGCAAUAAUAAAGUCAUUUGCUUUUAGGAACUGGGUUUCUUCUCUCACAUCCCUCGAUUAAUAUCUAUUUCCUAUUGCUCACAUCAUGUUUGAGCAGUUGUUUGAUUCUAUUCCAACUAGCUUGUUAUUUGAAUAUAUAUUAUUAUUAGUCUGGAAUAAGUAUUAUCAGGAACUUCCUCCAAAAUUCUGUAAGAGUGACAGAGCUUCUCCUUAUUUUUGCAGGAUGGGUGAGCAUGAUUUGCAGAUAGGAAGAUGUUUUGACAUUGAAUAAGUACCCUUUUUUCUAUUGCUAGUUUGUAUGAAAGUUAAAUGUAUUAUGAGAGAAAAGCUUGUGUAUUUAUUCAUUGAAGGAUCUGUUUAUAUACACAGAUUUGUAAUAUUGGCGGGAAAGGGAAAAAUGAAACUGACUAACAAAUCUGUUACAUUCUACUGCAUUCUAGAAUAGUCUGGGGACUUCUAGGAAAUUUUACAUUAUGACUGGAAUCCAUACGUUAAACGCCAUCAUUUUGCUUCUGUGUUUUCUCGGUGUUUUACGAUGUCGUAUUAACUUGGUAUUUAGUCUCUUCAGCCCCUCUGCGAGAUGGAGUCGACCUAAUUUGGGAGAGUCCCAUCUUGGACAAAAGACUCUAAAACUGCGCAGCUCCUAAAGACUUUGUGAAGAGAUCUGCGAUCUGUUGUCGCGAAGGGAAAUGCAAGGUUGUGAUGAACCCUCUAGUGAUUUGGUCACGAACUAGGUGGAAGUCGAUAUCGAGGUGCUUCGUUCGUUUGUGAAAAACGUUGGGCGGCCCGAUUAUCGCAAUGCAGGGGUAUGGGGAGAUUUGACCAGAUCUGGAAAUCUUUGAGGAGAUAAGUAACCCAUUGAAUCUCACAUGCUGUCACAGCCAUACUACGAUAUUUAGCUUUAGCUGAAGAGCGACUAACCGUGUUUUGCUUCUUUGUUUUACAGGAAAUAAGAGAGGAGCUAUUUUGUUAAAAGCCUGUAUGGCCUAAAAUAUGCGAAUUGGUUAAAAGCCUGUUGUGAGAUUAAGUGGUUACAAGGGAAUAGAUGGCUCGAACUUAUUCUACCAGUUGUGAACAAAUUCCUUAGCCGCUUGCUACUCAAAGGUCAAUGCUAGACAACUUUCAUUAUUUUUUUUAUGGCAAAAAAGGAAAGACAAUGUUGCAAUCUAGUGGGAAGGAAAUUUUUAUUAUCCUAUGAUGACAAGUUGCCUGUAAGUAAUUAUUUCAUAAUUUAACUUGAUUAUGUAUCAAUUUUAAGUGAUACAAUUUUUAAAAAUGAUUUGUUUGAGAAAUAAAAAAUGGAAAAACAAAAAUCAAAUUGGACCA